CAAUAGCGCGCAGGCUCCCACGGAAUCGACCAAUCGUGGAACGCGAGGAGGCGGGAUCUAAAGCGAACGUCGAAGCGAUAAAUAAGUAGCACGCCAGAAGGAAAAUAAAGCCACAAAUGCCGGAUUUUAGGCGGUGUCAUCAUGGGACAUUCUGGUGCCUUGCACCGAAGAAAGAGAUUCCUCCAGAUUCAGAACGUCGUGAGGAAAGCAGCGUAUCACCCAAAGCCACCAAUUGUCCCGAAAGCUUGUUUCCCUGCCUCCACUUGUGUUGAAGAGUCUGUCGGGCUCGUGAUCUCCAGCAACGCUCGUCGCACGCGAACACGACUCUCUUCUUCCUCACAAUGCAGGCCACAAAACUGCAGUCGCCAUAAAGCCCAGCUUUGCCGGGAGUGUUUUGUAUUCCGUCAUCAUUCAGGCUCAGGAAGGUUUUAUGAGGUGCUUCGUUUCCAAAGAAAUAUGUCUCUCUCUCUCUAUGGCUUUUAGAGCUCCCCAAAUCCACUCUUAACGGCACGCUCCGCGGCCCAGACGUCUCUUAGAUUAAAGCAGAGCGAUCCAAAUAGCUCACUAGCACUUUCCUCUCACACUGCAAUGAUUUGCAAACUGAUUACCACGUUGGACCAAACAGCCUCCGAGUGCGACGUCUUAUCCUUUUAUUUUUUUUUUCCCUGAGAGAGAGGUGUGUAACGAAGAUGGAGGAAGAGACAAGUACCGGCGAAUAGAAAACGAUGAGGAAAUUAGGGGAGCGCAUAGAACGAGACGUUCAAUAGGCCUCAGAUGAGGGCUUCGAGCAGGAAGGAGGCUGGAGGAAGAAUUGGAUCUUAUCCAGAAAUUGAUAACGGCGUGCCGAACGCUUAACUGGAAUAACAGGCGAAUGAAUAGAAAGGAUUGAGGGAAUGAAGUAAAUAAAAACCACGGAGGCCUCGUAAUGCGAGCGCGUCGGGUGAUGGGUAAACGCGGGAGGAGGACGGGAA